rnacentral:lncRNA from 1 species
GGCAAGGUCUGAGUUUGCACUUUCACAUCAUGAGCUCACCUUUUGUGGCUCCUCAGGUCUGGCUCCUCCCUGCUUCCAGAAUUGGUAUAGGAACUCAGCACUGUCUAGUAAUUCCUCCUUUGCUGUGGCACUGCCUCCUGCCAUUGCCAGUUCACGAUCAUAGGAUUUGUCUUCUCUUGGACCAGAAAAGAAACCAUGUGGCCCUUGAGGGAGCCAUCUACGUUGGGAAACUGGCCAAAGAUGAAAGGACCAAGAAGAGAAAAUUCUGGAUCAUUCCUCAACAAGCAUUUAUUGAUUUCUUUUCUGCUACAGUAGUGUGUAAACUACUUAGGAUGAGCAAUAAUGUUGAUAUGCUUUCAUUCUGUGACAGCGAUAGUCAUGCAUGUAUGCUUCAACUGACACUAGGUUGACUCCAAACAUUUAACUUUGACAAGAUGAAACCAAAUUAAGCUGAUUUUCCCUACCUCUAGUUAGUUCUCUUAUUGGUUCAGUGCUAAAUUUUAUGCCAUACACAUAUUUCAUUGCCCUUUUAAUUCUGUGGUUUUUAAGCAUAUAUUUUUCACUAAGGAAAUAUGCAAAAGUUGUAACUCUUAAUGAGCACACUUAAUAAAUAUUAGAAGUAUUGCA